rnacentral:tRNA from 1 species
GCUGGUGUGGGCCGGACGUUUCGCGGUGCUGCUGCUGCCGCCGCUAGCGUUCUACGCGGUAAACCGGCU